rnacentral:rRNA from 1 species
GAUGAACGCUGGCGGCGUGCCUAAUACAUGCAAGUCGAGCGAACAGAUGAGGAGCUUGCUCCUCUGACGUUAGCGGCGGACGGGUGAGUAACACGUGGAUAACCUACCUAUAAGACUGGGAUAACUUCGGGAAACCGGAGCUAAUACCGGAUAAUAUAUUGAACCGCAUGGUUCAAUAGUGAAAGACGGUUUUGCUGUCACUUAUAGAUGGAUCCGCGCCGCAUUAGUUAGUUGGUAAGGUAACGGCUUACCAAGGCAACGAUGCGUAGCCGACCUGAGAGGGUGGUCGGCCACACUGGAACUGAGACACGGUCCAGACUCCGACGGGAGGCAGCAGUAGGGAAUCUUCCGCGAUGGGCGAAAGCCUGACGGAGCAACGCCGCGUGAGUGAUGAAGGUCUUCGGAUCGUAAAACUCUGUUAUUAGGGAAGAACAAAUGUGUAAUUAACUAUGCACGUCUUGACGGUACCUAAUCAGAAAGCCACGGCUAACUACGUG